UACGGGGGGGGCAAGCGUUGUUCGGAAUUAUUGGGCGUAAAGCGCGCGCAGGCGGUUUCUUAAGUCUGAUGUGAAAGCCCCCGGCUCAACCGGGGAGGGCGGCUGGAAACUGUGCUUCUUGAGGGCGAUAGAGGAGUGUGGAAUUCCUGGUGUAGCGGUGAAAUGCGUAGAGAUCAGGAGGAACACCCGUGGCGAAGGCGGCACUCUGGAUCGGCCCUGACGCUGAGGCGCGAAAGCGUGGGGAGCGAACGGG
rnacentral:rRNA from 1 species